rnacentral:rRNA from 1 species
GUGCCAGCAGCCGCGGUAAUACGGAGGGUGCGAGCGUUAAUCGGAAUUACUGGGCGUAAAGCGCAUGCAGGUGGAUGAUUAAGUCAGAUGUGAAAGCCCGGGGCUCAACCUCGGAAUAGCAUUUGAAACUGGUCAUCUAGAGUACUGUAGAGGGGGGUAGAAUUUCAGGUGUAGCGGUGAAAUGCGUAGAGAUCUGAAGGAAUACCAGUGGCGAAGGCGGCCCCCUGGACAGAUACUGACACUCAGAUGCGAAAGCGUGGGGAGCAAACAGGAUUAGAUACCCUGGUAGUCCACGCCGUAAACGAUGUCUACUUGGAGGUUGUGGCCUUGAGCCGUGGCUUUCGGAGCUAACGCGUUAAGUAGACCGCCUGGGGAGUACGGUCGCAAGAUUAAAACUUAAAUAAAUUGACGG